rnacentral:tRNA from 6 species
GCGGAAGUGGCGGAAUGGCAGACGCGCUAGAUUCAGGUUCUAGUGGGAGUUUAUCCUGUGAGAGUUCAAGUCUCUUCUUCCGCACUA